rnacentral:rRNA from 1 species
AUGGCUUCUCGUCAGGAUCAGGCUAGCUACCACGCCGGGGAGGCCAAGGCCCGCGCCGAGGAGAAGACGGGGUACGUCGUGGGCGCGGCGCAGGACAAGGCGAGGGAGGCCAAGGACACGGCGUCCGACGCCGCGGGCCGCGCCAUGGGCAGGGGCGGCGACGCCAAGGAGGCGACCAAGGAGAAGGCGUACGAGGCCAAGGACGCGGCGUCGGACGCCACUGGCCGCGCCAUGGACAAGGGCCGCGGCGCCGCGGAGGCCACCAAGGAGAAGGGCUACGAGGCCAAGGACAACGCGGCCGACACCGCGCAGCAGACCGGGAGCUACAUCGCCCAGACGGCCGAGGCCGCCAAGCAGAAGGCGGCCGGCGCCGCCCAGUACACCAUCGACACGGCCCGUGCCGGCACCGAGCAGACCGGGAGCUACAUCGGGCAGACGGCCGAGGCCGCCAAGCAGAAGGCCGGCGCCGCAGCGCAGUAUGCCAUGGACACCGCCGUGGCCGGCAAGGACAAGACCGGCAGCCUCCUCGUACAGGCAGGGGAGACGGUGAAGGGCGCGGCGGUGGGGGCGAAGGACGCGGUGAUGAACACGAUCGGAAUGGGCGGCGGCACCAACGGCAGCACCGACGUCACCGCCAAGGACACCAGCACGUACAAGCCCGGGACCAGGGAUUACUAA